rnacentral:rRNA from 1 species
CACGUAGGGCGCGAGCGUUGUCCGGAAUUAUUGGGCGUAAAGAGCUCGUAGGCGGCCUGUUGCGUCCGCUGUGAAAACCCGGGGCUUAACCCUGGGCUGGCAGUGGAUACGGACAGACUAGAGGUAGGUAGGGGAGAAUGGAAUUCCCGGUGUAGCGGUGAAAUGCGCAGAUAUCGGGAGGAACACCGGUGGCGAAGGCGGUUCUCUGGGCCUUACCUGACGCUGAGGAGCGAAAGCGUGGGGAGCGAACAGG